GCAGGAGUCGCGUAGCCUGGUCAAUCGCGCUAGGUUGAGGGCCUAGUCCCUUAGUGGGUGCGUGAGUUCGAAUCUCACCUCCUGCA
rnacentral:tRNA from 1 species